rnacentral:lncRNA from 10 species
AGUAAAUAAAUCCCAUAGGCUUAAGGGCUCCCCAAUUCCUUGCUACAGAGCCCUGUUGUCCACGGUUUAUUUUUUUCCACAGGACGAUUCUUAAUACUUUACCAGAUGGAAACACCACCACCACCAUCUUUGCCAUUUCAGCUCUUAUGCAUUAGGCAGCCACGAUAUCUUCAGGGCCUUCUUUCUCAUUCACGCCAUCUCAAGCAAGACCAACCCCUCCCCUUCCUCCUUCUUUUCAACCUACUUAACCUGAAAUCGAUGAUGAAGACAUUUGUGAUGAUCCACAUCCACUUAAUGAAAGAGGACAUAAAUAGUACUAGUGAAUGAAAAGUUCAAGAAUGUGGAUCUCAAGUCAGAAUAAGAAGAUUAGAGAAACUAAAGCUACUCUAAAAUGAAAAAAAAAUUAAUGAAAAAAAAUUAAUGCAAUAAAAUAGUAUUUUUCUUUUUUUAAAAAAUAAUUCCAACUUUUAUCUUAGAUUCAGGGAAUACAUGUUCAGAUUUUUUACAUGAGUAUAUUGCAUGAUAUUGAGGGUUGGGAUAUGGAUGGUUCCAACACCCAGGUAGUAAGUAUAGUACCCAAUAGGUAGUUUUCAGCCUUUGCCCUCCUCUUUCUCUCCCCCGUCCACUAAUCCCCAGUGUUUAUUUUUCCAUGCUUAUCUCCAUGUGUACCUAAUGUUGAAUUUCUGCUUGUAAGUAAGAACAUACAGUAUUUGGUUUUCUAUUUCUGCUUUAAUUUAUUAAGAUAAUGACCUCCAGCUGCAUCCAUGUUACUGGAAAGGAAAUUAUUUUGUUCUUUUUAAUGGCUGCAUAACAUUCCAUGGUGUAUAUGUACUACAUUUUCUUUAUCCAAUCUACCAUUGAUGAGUACCUAGAUUGAUUCCGUGACUUUGCUACUGUGAAUCAUGUUGCAAUAAAC